CGCACCUUGCGCUCUCUGGUAUUCCGGAGAGCAUGUCUGUUUGAGUGUCAUGAAUUCUUCAACCCAUCGGUUCCUUGUGAACUUGUUUAUGGAGUUUGGAUUUUGAGCUUUGCUGUUCAUUCAGCUGGUUCGUAAUAUAUUAGCAAAUUUCAAUGCCAAAUACUUUCGGCUUGACUCGGUGUGAUAGACUUUUUUUUUCACUGAGGACUUUACUUUUUUCUUAACGGAAAUCUGUAAGGCCGAAACUUGGAUCGGAAGUAGCUUCUAAUUGACAAAAAGUCUUUCUUUAAAUUUAGACCUCAAAUCAGGCAGGAUUACCCGCUGAACUUAA
rnacentral:misc_RNA from 1 species